rnacentral:rRNA from 1 species
UGAACUUAAGCAUAUCAAUAAGCGGAGGAAAAGAAACUAACAAGGAUUCCCCUAGUAACGGCGAGUGAAGCGGGAAGAGCUCAAAUUUGUAAUCUGGCGGCCCUUGGUCGUCCGAGUUGUAGUCUGGAGAAGCGUUUUCCGUGCCGGACCGUGUACAAGUCCCUUGGAACAGGGCGUCACAGAGGGUGAGAAUCCCGUCUUUGACACGGACUGCCGGUGCUUUGCGAUGCGCUCUCGAAGAGUCGAGUUGUUUGGGAAUGCAGCUCAAAACGGGUGGUAAAUUCCAUCUAAAGCUAAAUAUAGGCGAAAGACCGAUAGCGAACAAGUACCGUGAGGGAAAGAUGAAAAGCACUUUGGAAAGAGAGU